CACGGAUGAUCGAGCCGGCGUCGCGCUUACCUCGCAGUCCUCGUACUUGAUAUUAUCCGUCAAUUUCCAAAGCAUUUUCAUGGAUCGGCGUGAACGGAUAUGCCCCUCUCGGUCUCGCACCCAAGUGGAGCUACUCUCUGGCUCUUUACCAACAGCCUAAUCGCCUCAUUAGCAUAUCAACAAUAGUCCAAUUGCUCGCCAGUACCACAAUCUGCCGCCGGCCGCUCCGACACAGAGAUGCCUUCUGCAAAGCCCGGCACUGCUCAAGGUCCAAGCGCCACGCCUGGGGCCCGGCUUCUAGCACUUCUCCCUUAACCCUGCUACCACGAUCCGAGCUGCCCUUUUGGCCCCGUGCAAUUUUAUUAGAAAU